rnacentral:lncRNA from 12 species
AGCUUUUGAAAUCAGUAGAAUUUGAACUUCAUGUCCCCAAAGUAAUAGCCCUAUAACCACCGUGAUCCACUAGAGAAAGCCCAGCUCUAGAGGCUCCUUGGGACCAUUGUUUUCAUGUCAUUAUAGGACCUGCUCCUGGAAGGUGUGUUGAGAGGACUUUCUUCAGGGCAAGACAUUAUUGUAGGCACGAGGCAAGCUGUUCACUCAGCCGUUGCUGUCCGUUCCUGGUCCCGGGAAGUCAUCUGGAGGAGCAUGCAGUGAUGCUUCCAAUGUUUGUCAAGGUAUCAUAAUGGCCCACUUUUUAAAAAUCCAAGAAGCCUUUGGGCAUUAUCUGGGACUUAGACAAAGAAGGUAAAAAGAAGGUAAAUUUGCUCUUUAUUAAAAUAUUCGGCUCUACAUACAUUCUAGCCAGAGACUAUAUUGCAGGCUUUUUAUAUUACAUGUAGAAAAAAUUCUGCCUUCAUUUCUAAUGUUCUUAUAAAAGGCAUCUGUGUGCAUAUGUAUGCAUGCUAUCUCUUUAAUUAUUCUAGUUAUCAAUACUGCAAGAAGCCGGUUACAUAUAUAAGACUUUUUGUAGUGAUUCUUGUGUAGAAUUAAGGGGUGAGCCCAUAAAUACUAUCCUCAUAUCAUUUUUCAAUGCAGAUAGUACUGCAGUGGCAACACUAUAUAAGGGUUCAGGGUGUCCUGGAGUAUCAGGUGGUACCUAGACAUAGAAUGAAUGAUGACCAGAGUUAGAGCUGGGAACCGUAGGGAAGCCCUUAUCUCAUGAAGCAGCAACAAUCAAUGGCAUGACUCAGGAUUAGGGCAAGGCCUUCUCACUGUCUCCAAAUAUACUAGAGGAAAAGAGGCUAAUGUUCUGUUUAUGAUAUGAAACUGCCUGUCAUAUUUGGGUAAAAACUAAUAUUUCUUUUUUUAAAAAAGAUUUAUCUAUUUAUUUCUCAGAGAAAGA